rnacentral:lncRNA from 1 species
CUGUAGCAGAUUUGAAUAGAUCCAUACAGGUCUGGGUGCCUCCAUCCAACGAACUGCACUUCCAGAGUAGGCGCUAGAUAGCUAAUUAGUACAGGUGGUCGCGUCCGUUCUCCGUUAAAGCGCUGUAACAUGGAGAUAUGGCAGUGCGGGAACACUAACCCUAUAAAUGUGUAUCAAUUUAACUUUUUUGCUUUCUAGCUGAUAAAGAUAAUGUCCUUAUACUUCCAAAACUGUACCACAAGUACAACUGUUCAGACCGAGCAUCGGGGCUCUUAAAACUACAAAAUAGCCUUUGUCCAAUGACUAAUUUAAUGCAACUGAGAGUCAAGGGCUAAUAGAGCCCUAGAUCAACCAAAAAAAGUGCUCAAAUGAACACUGUAAAGUGUGUGUAUUGCAUCUUAUCGGGUGUUGUAUUGCUUGUAAAUGUCAUUCUAGAAAGCGUAUAGAAGCCUACAGCUAAACUAUUCUCUGCUACGGUAGUUUGCAGCCAGCUUACAUCACAUGCAGCGCGCAUUGACACAGUGAAAACUACCCACUGGAUAACCCUACCCGCACAGCCAGAGAAGACCGACAAAAUGGAAAGCAAAAAGCAUACCACGGAAAACCAGAAUUUGACCCAAAAGAUAAAAAAUAGGGAGCUCAGAAUCGUGAAAAACAGGGCACGAGUUAAAUCAAAUGUAUGGGAUCAUUUUGGAGUAAUCGUUAACGCUGACAAACAACAUGUGGAUGGAUUCGCAGCAUGCAAAAAGUGCAAGCGGGUGUUAGCCUAUGAUAGCCAUAGAACAGGCACUUCCAGCUUGAAAAAACACAUUGAGAAAUGCACGGUAAGACGUCUAUUGAUUGCACAGUAGCAAAUUGUAGUGCAAAACGUGGAGCUUAAAAUGCGCAGCAGGAGGGACAAAGAUGGUUAGCUCGGGUUGUGGCCGUCGGUUCAAUUCCACAGGGUUCGGGUUGGGGUAGCAGUCUUUCCUAAUGGCGGUUUGCAGUCGGGUCCGAUAGAUCCGUUUGUGCGGUUAUGAUUUUUUUUUUAUUGGGGGGCUCAAAUUGGACUCGUUUAUGUACGUGUGAGAAUUAAAAUAAAAAUGCGUGCUAUUGUCAAGCAGAAUGCUUGAUUUAUUAUUUUCAAAUGUUGCUUUUGUAUGUGUGGGCUAUGUGGAGUGGUGAAGACGUUCGCCUUUAAUCCCAGCACAUGCGCAAUGAAAUGUCGCAGAUCCAGACGGCUACCAAAGACUGUACUCUGCAGUUGAGAUAGCUCAAACUAUCCUUCCAUUACACUAAGAACCAGCAGUUGUGAGAUAUGGAAUGUAGAAGCAGAGACAGUAAAAAAUAUAGAAGUCACACAUGGAGAUAUUUCAAUGAAAUAUCUUCCGAAAGUGUGACAUGCAAGCUGUGUGCGGCUGUUCUGAAGCGGACGAGCGGUAGCACAACAUCCAUGUUGAACCAUUUAGAAAGGAUCCAUAAUCUGUCGCUAAGACAUAUCAAAACACAGCGAGAGCUGAUGGCGACCGUUAGAGGUAAGAGGCCUGUAAGUGUUUUCUUUCAUUCUUAGGUAGGCUACUACAGCAAACUCGUAAAAGUUAGAUAUCUGGACUGUUCAAAGACGAGUUUCUCUUCUAACUCCGCUUGUAGGCCUACCGUAAUUACUCAGGUUGCGUCAUUAGUUUUGACCCCAAGUGCAGUUAAUACGGUAAAUGGGCGACGUUUGGUCAUUCGAGAGGAAGAAGCGUAGCGAAAGGGUUUACGCCGCCCAAAAUUUGUCCACGAAAAUAGACCAAGUGAGGGAGUUUUGUAUGGAGUCGUUGAAGUACAGCAAAAGAGAAGCUGCAAUAAAGGAAGAGAAGACACUGUCGAAGAGCACACAUGAGGAAGAUGAGCCGUGCCCUAAAAGAGGGAUGUCAAAGCAAGAACCCAAUACUUCAGAGGUAGCCUUGACAGAAGGUGGGGCUCCAGAGCAGUUUGAGUUUCAGUAUGGACUUGAGGGACCAACAUUUAAGAAUGAGAAUGGGGAGUCCUCCAAGAGCCAUCUGUCCAUCAUCAAAGUAGAACAGCUGGACUCCCUCCUCCCAGACCAAACAGACUCCAGCUGUGGUUCAGGGUCACCUGGGGAUUCGGGGCCUCCUGACUCGUCUGGUUCUGGGUCCAAUACUAGUCCGGCUUCACAGUUUUUCAGGAAGUGCCACCAGGCAGGCUGCACACAAUUCAUCUUCUCGGAGUUCACCUCCCGCCUCAGCACCAUCACUGAGAGGAUCGCAUCCCAGCAGGCCAGCGAGGAAGAUUUCAACCUCACCCUGAAAGUGCUGGAGGCCUCUGGGAUGCUGCCAGAGAUCUUUACCAAAAGAGACCAAGAAAUGGAGAAGAGACUGAGGGAGCUACAGAGAGAGACUGUUGCGGUGAGGACAGCCAGGUCUGCCAUGAGAGAUGCUUGCGUCAUGAGCUUCACCUCAUGACGGAGCACCGCUGAAGAUCAAAUCGGUUUUAUAAGGCGUUAUAACCAGCAGAGCCUGGUUAUAUUCUGACCACUUGACAGAACUAGGAAGGUAUAGGAGUUUUCCCUGGACCAAUCCCCUCGUCAGGAAAAACUUAGAUCCUCCUUUUAACCGAAAUGUAAAUAUUUCAAACCUUUUGUAUUUUACAUAUUUUUCUACCCGUGUUCAAACUUUGACUCUGUGAAAUCUGAACUCUGACAUUUGAAUGCAGUUUUUCACCCUGGCCACUAACUUGAGUGGCAUGUUAUACAUUAAAUGAGUAAUUGGUAAUAUAAUCUUUUGACAGACAUUGGUUCUGAGGUUAUUGGUGGUGAUUUGAUGUUAGUAGGUGAUCCUUAGUCUCCCGCUCUGUACUGUAUAUUAUAUGCUCACUAACCCUUAACAGACUUAAUAUAUCCUAAUAUACUGAAUGUGCAAAUUAGUAGAUCCAUUUUUUUUAUUGACGGUUACUAUCUCCACUAGUACUAUAAGAUUAAUUAUUUAGAAUACACUGUAAUAUAGUACACUUGAGAGGAAAGUUGAGACCUGUGACGUUCUGAGAAUGAAUUAAACUUGUUAUGUAAAUUACUUGUGAUUAUUUCAGAUCGAAAAAUGUGCUGAACUUUAUUUUAUUUUUUAUAUAGUAAAUGGUACAAAUUACAACGUUUCUGCACAUGCUCUACAGUGGAAAGGGGAAAAACAACUAGGUGACAGAGGAUUUUUCAGAAUGUAUUCUUAUACCAGGGUUCCCCAACUUUUCUGAAAC